CAGUUAAAAGUCCUGUUGGGGUCCACAUGGAUCAGAGAUUGACCAUCGGAUUGUACUGUGUUCCUGAUAAAUCCAUAACCAGGAAGUAUUUCUGGUUUACACAAACUGAUACACAGUCGGGAGUUCACAUACAGUGUUUUAAUUUUAAAUUUACCAGAUGACGUGCAGAUUUUAGUGCUUGACAUCCUAUCUAGAACAAUCUUCUCUGUGAAGAGUGACACCUGUUGGAAGCGUAGAGCAGAGAAAAUAGACUUGGGGCGUGUCUUUAGCAGAGGUUAUACGCUACUGAGACGAAGCUGCAACAGCACUGAUACAUGUACUGUGUGGAUUGCUGCAUUGAUAAGAAUGGGAAUCUAUUUGCUGCAUGACAUGCAACGCUGCUCAACACGGAUCCUGUAUUUUUUUCAGCUUUAGGCCUCUAAAGACAUCACAUUUUUCAGUAACUCAAAACUAAAAGUGAAGUAAAGCUCUCCACCAAUUGAAAUUGGAUCCAAUGAUCAGGAACAAUGAUGACAGCAGCACAAAAAUCCUUCUCUUUUAGGUUUGUCUUAAGUGGGCUCAAAGAGCAGUCUGAUCUGAACUGGUCAGCCAGAGGCAAAUAUAUAAAAAGUAAUAUCCCUGUGUUAUACCACCAGAAACCACCAGCUGAUAAAGGACUCAGUCUAGGAAUGGCCAUGAAGCUGACUCUUCUCUUACACUGUGAGAAAGUCACUGUGUCUGUACUUGAAGGUCCAAUAUUUAACACAACUUGCUGUCAAUAACAGUGAUGGAGCACUGCUCUACUUCUGGCCUAAAAAAACAAUAAUAAUAAUAUAAUAAAAUAAAUCAAUAAAUAAAAUAAAAUAAAAUAAAAUAUCAUUUUUUUAUCUUCACACCAUUUUCAUUUCUAUGUAGAGUUAAAUGAUUUGCAACCCACUGAAAUCUGUUUUUAAUAACCUUUGACACAAUUCUAUCAGAACAGGGGUUGUAUCUAAGAGCUUGCUUGCUGAAAGGUGCUCAGACCAUUUCCUCCAUGACUCUCUGAGGAAGUGAAAGAAGAAACUUCUAAUGAACAGACUGAAGGCAGCGGCAGAGCUGGUGGAGACCACAGAGCUGAGUCUGUUGCUGCAGAGAGAUUGUCUGCUUUGCUCGACUGGGUGUUGUAUCUCUGCAAGACAAGGGGUCGCUUCUCUCCCUCUCCCUCUGUCUCCUUCAGUCUGCUGUGGCUCUUUUAGUACUUAGAGCUGCUGUCUUUGUCUUCCCCUCCUCUCCUCUGCUGGUUUGGGUGGGUCUAAUGCUCUGUCCCUUGUCAGCCCCCCGUCCUUCUGUUUUCUCCUCUCCUCCUUUCAUUCCCUCUCUUGUCUUUGUCCCUUCAUCAGCAUAUUUAAGUCUGUUGCUGCUUCUGGCUCUGUCUGUAAUUUUAUAUGUAUCUACAUGUUUUAUGACUCAAGACUUUUUCACGUAUAUGAAUGUGUCCUGUCGUGCAAACACACACACAUCCACAGAUAAGGAUGGACUGCAUGUGUGACACUGUUUAUGUGGAGAGGUGAGAUACUGCUUCACAGAUGGAGCAACUGCUGCACAGCUCAACUGUAUUGGACAUCCAGUAUACUCAGCAGCAGGAGCAUGCGCACACACGCACGCACGCACGCAUGCACGCACACACAUCUACACACAGCACUGCAGAUGAGAGGAAAGGGCUGUUUCUUGAUCCGUGUAUUGUUUCAAAGAUUGCCAAAGAGCCUUCUGAACAGAGUCACUUUCAUUUCACUGGGAGAGAGGAGGUUUGGGCGAGUUACGUUUCAUUGGAUCAGGUCUUAAUUGGUUUGAUUUUUUAGGUACCUAAACCUCUUUGUUCCCAUCCGAGUGUUCUUACAUGAGAGCAGAACCACAGAGGAGAGGAAAGUUACAAAGUGCUGUGUUUUACAGGGUUUUAUCCUACCUUGCAAAGACAAAGAUCAGGAAUACUCAAACAGUGAAGCUGACGGUAUUAUGUUUCAAAGCUGGGUGCUGAAGCACAGAUUAGGUAUGGAAGACUGUAUUUAUUCCACACGCUGUACAGCAGUGGACAAGAGUGGGAAAACUACAAAAGUCAAGAACAAAUGUAACACUGCAAAUAUGGCAAAACUAAAAAAGGCAAAAUGCUGCAUAACCAGACACAAAAAAAUGGAAGGGCUCCAGACCUUUGAGGGCACCAAGUGGAACAGAAUGAACUUGCUUACAUGGCAACAGUGUUUCAGUUUUUGAGUCCCUAAGAACCCAUCCUUGAGUCGAGCACUUAUGACCUGGAUUCAUACCUGACUGCAUUAUUACACGGCAGAUGGAGAGGGAGACCCAAGACUAAGAAAGAAGCUCAAACUUUAACAGGCAUCUGCUCAAGGUGUACUUAGAAAACUGAGUGUAAUGUGUCAGUCAGCCCAUUUGGCAGAGCUAAUUUAGGUAGCUAAUUCAAAUUUUGUUUUAAGAAAACAUAAGAUACUGUUUUAUUAGUCUCACAGGAGGGAAAUUCUAGAUUUACAGCAGUGAUACAUUCAAAAGAGAAAUGAAAGGAUGAAAAACUUCAGAGUUAAAAAUUAGAUCUGUAUAAGUGUUAUUUACAGCUGUUUUAGGACUAAUGUACCUUUUAAUUUUAGUCACAUUUUUGUCAUUUUUGCUCUUUAUUAUUUAAGUUUUGGAUGACAAAAGGUCAGUCUAUAAAUUGACAAAAAGUCAAAACAUUCAAAACAAUUAGUGUCAAGGUUGAGCUAGUAUUUAAACCACAGACUGUGUACGGAGUUGACGCAGUCUGCCUACUUGCUGGGUGAAGCCACACCCUCUGGUAAUGGGCUGCAGUAUUCAGCAAUCCCUAUGAGGCUAUGGACAAACUUUAGAAAUUGAUUACACAGAAUAUAAUUUUUUCUCCCCCAUACUUGUGGUUGUGAUCAUGUAGUUACUGUAAGACUGGUUUGUGCUCAAGUCCUCUUUUUUCUGUACACCUCCAUUUUCAAAAGUUAUUGGGGGGUUCAUGUUCUAUGAUUGACACUUGAUACAGUCUAUGGGCGUACGAAGAUUGCAUAGCUCACCUGGGGAUAUGCUGUUUGAGCAGAGCGUCAUUACAGUGACUCUCCCGCCGAAUGUGUACAACACUACUGUGCAAGUGGAGGUUCCAGGAAGUGGAGAAAAUCCUGGAAAUACCAAGAGCAAUUUGGCUUCAAAUUCUUAUGACAGAAGGCGGAACCAAGUUGUAUAUAGUAUAUACAGUCUAGUAUUUAAACCUUCAGUUUUGCUCUUUAACACUUUACUUGAAUAAUAUCUGGAUUUCUUACUUUCGUUGAAUGAUGAAGUCCAGACCCUCAACAUUGCAAUACUUCUGUUGUGUCCCAGCUGAUUUAUGAGGAUAAUAUAUAGGAGUGGUCCUUACUCCAAAUCAAAAAUUCUUUCUGUAUCCACUAUAUAUACUGUAUAUUUACACAGAACUGUUACUGGUAAUAGUGGCAAGACAUGGCAAACAUAUACAAUUAAACUGAUAUCACUCCAGUGGUUGGUAGUAUUUAUGUCUCUGUUCACUAAACAUUUUCGGCAAAGUCAAUACAGUAGUGUUUUUUUGCUAGCAUUGAUAUUGUAUACAGAUACUAAAAGCCGCACCUAAUCUUGAAGAUUAUAAGUUUAAUUGAUUUCAUCUUUAUUCAGAUCUGAUAAAAAGAAACUUAUGGUGAAAUCUUUUUUUGAUUGAGAUUUAAAUAACCUUAAAACCGGCAGGCUGAGGGUUUUCAAUGUAAUAAAUAACUGAUAAAAUUUCACCGAACUGACAAUACAAUCAAUCUUGUGUAUUUGAGCGGUACAGAGAAUAUCUAAUAAACAUCCUAACAUCACAUUAGUUUCCUGGUCUGGCCAGACUUGUCACUACCAGAUUUUAUUUCCAGUCACUUGGGGAAGACAAAGCAGAAAAUAUGCUUUGCGUCAUGUGUUUAUUAUGUGUUUAGUGGAGUUCCCCCCACGGUAAAGCCCUCCAUAUCAAUCCCAAUUUUGGGCCCAUUUGUCUCGGGAUGGUCCAGGUUAACAGGCGCUGAGCGACACAGAGGAGGGAUGUUGCAUUAUUGCAUUAUUUUAGCCCGCAAAGCACAGCUGAGCCAUAAUUUACCAGAGUCUAAUCCACAGCUGUAUUGAGGAUUUAGAGGUGAGCAUGGGGUAACAUACAGAUGGAGCAACACCUACAACACACACAAACCUGCAGACUGACACAAACUGAGUUCAACACAGUUCAUAAAACACGCAAAUGAUAAACAUGCACUUCUAAACCUCUGGGAUCAGCUCUGACAGGGCUCCAUUUGUGGUUUUACAGAUGCACUGUAUGUGUUUCCUAUCUUUAUUGGGUGUAUUUAUCUGUGACACCAAGUCCUGCUAAAACAUAGGCUGAUAUAUGAAGUCAUAAUGUAUCAGCACCCUCAGCUCCCUUCAUGCAAUUGCUGAUGUCGAGAUGAAAAAUUCUAAGCGACGGUGUUAUAUAGCUCUAUUUACACAGUGUAAGAUGAUGUUUUUUCUCCAUAAAGUGUGACUGCCAGAUUGUAUAUGAUAAAAUGAGCACACUAUUUGAGGCAUAUACUGUGCAUCCAGGAAGUAUUCAUACCACUUCACUUUUUCUAUGUUUUGUUAUGUUACAGCCUUAUUCCAAAAUUGAUUAAAUUCCUUUUUUCCCUCAAAAAUUCUACACAAAAUACCCCCUAAUGACAAAGCGAAAAACUGUUUUUAGAACAUUUUGCAAAUUUAUUAAAAAUAAGACACUCAAAUGUUGCAUAUACAAAAAUAUUCACACCCUUUGCUAUAAAACUCAAACUUGAGCUCAGGUGCAUCCUGUUUCCACUGAUCAGCCUUGAAAUGUUCCUCUAACUUGAUUGCAGUCCACCUGUGGCAAAUUCAGCUGAUUGGACAUGAUUUGAAAAGCCACACCUGUCUAUAUAAGAUCCCACAGCUGACAGAGCACAUCAGAGCACAAACCAAGCCAUGAAGUCGAAAGAAUUGUCUGUAGACCUCGGAAACAGGGUUGUAUCUGCGCACAGAUCUGGGGAAGGUUACAGAAAAAUAUCUGCUGCAUUGAAGAUCCCAAAAAGCACAGUGGUCUCCAUCAUUGAGAAAUGAAAGACGUUUGGAACCACCAGGACUCUUCCUAGAGCUGGCUGCCCAGCCAAAAUGAGCAAGCGGGGGAGAAGGCCCUUGGUCAGGGAGGUGACCAAGAACCCGAUGGUCACUCUGACACCUGAAGGACUCACAGACCAGGAGAAACUAAAUUCUCUGGUCUGAUGAAACGAAGAUUGAACUCUUUGGCCUGAAUGCCAAGCGUCAUGUCUGGAGGCACCGCUCACCACCUCGCCAAUCCCAUCCCUACAGUGAAGCAUGGUGGUGGCAGCAUCAUGCUGUGGGGAUGUUUUUCAGCGGCAGGAACUGGGAGACUUGACAGGAUCGAGGGAAAAAUGAAUGCAGCUAAGUACAUCCAGAUCCUUGAUGAAAACCUGCUCCAGAGCGCUCGAGACCUUCGACUGGGGCGACACAUCAUCUUCCAUCAUGACAAUGACCCUAAGCACACGGCCAAGAGGACAAAGGAGUGGCUUCAGGACAAGUCUCUGAAUGUCCUUGAGUGGCCUAGCCAGAGCCCAGACUUGAACCCGAUUGAACAUCUUUGGAAAGACCUGAAAGUAGCUGUGCACCAACGCUGCCCAUCCAACCUCACUGAGCUUGAGAGGAUGUGCAAGGAAGAAUGGGAAAAACUCCACAAAUCC